ACGGAUCCUUCGGGAUUAGUGGCAGACGGGUGAGUAACGCGUGGGAAGCUACCUUGUGGUAGGGGACAACAGUUGGAAACGACUGCUAAUACCCUAUGAGCCCUAUGGGGGAAAGAUUUAUCGCCAUGAGAUGUGCCCGCGUUAGAUUAGCUAGUUGGUAAGGUAAUGGCUUACCAAGGCGACGAUCUAUAGCUGGUCUGAGAGGAUGAUCAGCCACACUGGGACUGAGACACGGCCCAGACUCCUACGGGAGGCAGCAGUGGGGAAUAUUGGACAAUGGGGGCAACCCUGAUCCAGCCAUGCCGCGUGUGUGAUGACGGCCUUAGGGUUGUAAAGCACUUUCAGCAGUGAAGAUAAUGACAUUAACUGCAGAAGAAGCCCCGGCUAACUUCGUGCCAGCAGCCGCGGUAAUACGAAGGGGGCUAGCGUUGUUCGGAAUCACUGGGCGUAAAGAGUACGUAGGCGGACUGAUAAGUUAGGGGUGAAAUCCCAAGGCUCAACCUUGGAACUGCCUUUGAUACUGUCAGUCUUGAGAUCGAGAGAGGUGAGUGGAACUCCGAGUGUAUAGGUGAAAUUCGUAUAUAUUCGGAAGAACACCAGUGGCGAAGGCGGCUCACUG
rnacentral:rRNA from 1 species